rnacentral:rRNA from 1 species
UACGGAGGGAGCUAGCGUUGUUCGGAAUUACUGGGCGUAAAGCGCACGUAGGCGGCUUUGUAAGUUAGAGGUGAAAGCCCGGGGCUCAACUCCGGAACUGCCUUUAAGACUGCAUCGCUUGAAUCCAGGAGAGGUGAGUGGAAUUCCGAGUGUAGAGGUGAAAUGCGUAGAUAUUGGGAAGAACACCUGAGGCGAAGGCGGGUUGCUGGGCCGACACUGACGCUGAGGCGCGAAAGCCAGGGGAGCAAACGGG